rnacentral:rRNA from 1 species
GUCUUUUUGAAAUAAUUUAAAGUCUAAUCUGCCCACUGAUAGAAAAUUAAAGGGCUGCAGUAUAAUGACUGUACAAAGGUAGCAUAAUCAGUAGUUUUUUAAUUGAAAACUUGUAUGAAAGAUUUGAUGAAAUAUAGACUGUCUCUAAUUUAUAAAUUGAAUUUUAUUUUUUAGUAAAAAAGCUAAAAUAAAUUUAAAAGACGAGAAGACCCUAUAGAGUUUUAUAUUUAAUUUUAUUUUAAAAUUAUAUAAAAAUUAAUAUUAAAAAUAAAAUUAAAUAUUAUAUUGGGGUGAUAGAAAAAUUAAAUUAACUUUUUUUAAAAAUUAAACAUAAAUAAAUGAUUAUAUGAUCCAUAGAUAAUGAUUAUAAGAAAAAAUUACCUUAGGGAUAACAGCGUAAUAUUUUUUUUUAGUUCAAAUAAAAAAAAAAGUUUGCGACCUCGAUGUUGGAUUAAGAUAAAAUUUAAAUGCAAAAGUUUAAAAAUUUUGAUCUGUUCGAUCAUUAAAAUCUUACA